rnacentral:rRNA from 1 species
GACGAACGCUGGCGGCGUGCUUAACACAUGCAAGUCGAACGGAAAGGCCCUGCUUUUGUGGGGUGCUCGAGUGGCGAACGGGUGAGUAACACGUGAGUAACCUGCCCUUGACUUUGGGAUAACUUCAGGAAACUGGGGCUAAUACCGGAUAGGAGCUCCUGCUGCAUGGUGGGGGUUGGAAAGUUUCGGCGGUUGGGGAUGGACUCGCGGCUUAUCAGCUUGUUGGUGGGGUAGUGGCUUACCAAGGCUUUGACGGGUAGCCGGCCUGAGAGGGUGACCGGCCACAUUGGGACUGAGAUACGGCCCAGACUCCUACGGGAGGCAGCAGUGGGGAAUAUUGCACAAUGGGCGGAAGCCUGAUGCAGCAACGCCGCGUGCGGGAUGGCGGCCUUCGGGUUGUAAACCGCUUCCGCCUGUGACGAAGCGUGAGUGACGGUAAUGGGUAAAGAAGCACCGGCUAACUACGUG